AUCCUGGCUCAGGAUGAACGCUAGCGGCAGGCUUAACACAUGCAAGUCGAGGGGUAUAGUUCUUCGGAAUUAGAGACCGGCGCACGGGUGCGUAACGCGUAUGCAAUCUACCUUUUACAGAGGGAUAGCCCAGAGAAAUUUGGAUUAAUACCUCAUAGUAUGCAGAGUCGGCAUCGACACUGCAUUAAAGUCACAACGGUAAAAGAUGAGCAUGCGUCCCAUUAGCUAGUUGGUAAGGUAACGGCUUACCAAGGCUACGAUGGGUAGGGGUCCUGAGAGGGAGAUCCCCCACACUGGUACUGAGACACGGACCAGACUCCUACGGGAGGCAGCAGUGAGGAAUAUUGGACAAUGGGCGCAAGCCUGAUCCAGCCAUGCCGCGUGCAGGAUGACGGUCCUAUGGAUUGUAAACUGCUUUUGUACAGGAAGAAACAACUCUACGUGUAGAGUCUUGACGGUACUGUAAGAAUAAGGA
rnacentral:rRNA from 1 species